GAUGAACGCUGGCGGCGUGCCUAAUACAUGCAAGUCGAGCGAACAGACGAGGAGCUUACUGCUCGGACGGUAGGGGCGGACGGGUGAGUAACACGUGGAUAACCGACCUAUAAUACUGGGAUAAUUUCGGGAAACCGGAGCCAAUAGCGGAUAAAAUGUUGAACCGCAUGGUUCAACAGUGCAAGACGGUGGUGCUGUCACUUAUAGAUGGAUCCGCGCCGCAUUAGCUGGUUGGUAAGGUAACGGCUUACCAAGGCAACGAUGCCUAGCCGACAUGAGAGGUUGAUAUGCCACAUCCGCACGUAGACGCCCUCCACCCCCCUACGGGAGGCAGCAGUCGGCCAUCUUACGCAAUAGGCGCGAGCCUGCCGGAGCCACGCCGCGCGCGUGACGGCUGUGUUCGGCCCGUAAAACUCUCUUAUUGGUUAUGACCAUCUGUCUAAUUAACUCUGCACGUCUUGACGGUACCUGAUGAACAAGCCCCGGCUAACUACGUG
rnacentral:rRNA from 1 species